CCUCGGCAGGCUUGCCUGUCGAUUGGACAAUUCUAUAACCUUUUUAAUCUUCAAUCAGCGUCUGAAAAAAACGUAAUAAUUACAACUUUCAACAACGGAUCUCUUGGUUCUGGCAUCGAUGAAGAACGCAGCGAAAUGCGAUAAGUAGUGUGAAUUGCAGAAUUCAGUGAAUCAUCGAAUCUUUGAACGCACAUUGCGCCCCUUGGUAUUCCAUGGGGCAUGCCUGUUCGAGCGUCAUUUGUACCCUCAAGCUUUGCUUG
rnacentral:rRNA from 1 species